rnacentral:lncRNA from 1 species
GCGGGGUUAAAGAAAGGAGAGGAGGCGUGGGCUGCGCUGUGCUGUCGCUGGAGGCGCUCCCGGCGGCGCCUGCCUUGGUGCUUGCUAGUUGGUCGCCUCCAGUGAAAGGUCAUGGCAGGACCCAAGCGAACCUGGACAACUACCCUUAUCCCAGCCUCGGGACUGGAACAGCUGUGAGAGGAGACGAGACUCCCUGCAGAGGGCGGAGAUGACGUUAGCCUGACCAGACUCACACAAGUUUCUCUAUGUAGACUUGGCUCUCCUUAUAGACCAGACUGGGUUUCUCUGCGUAGCUUUGGAGCCUAUCCUGGCACUCGCUCUGGAGACCAGGCUGGCCUUGAAUUCACAGAGAUCCGCCAGCCUCUGCCUCCCGAGUGCUGGGAUUAAAGGUGUGCACCACCACUGCCUGGAGAUCCUUCUACUUCUUAAUCCUGAGUGUAUACAACCACCUCCUAGCUUCUGGCUGCUGGGAUUAAAUAUGUGUGCCUGGCUUCUAUGGCUUGUGGCUAACUUUGCUUUCUGAAUCUUCAGGCAAGCUUUAAUAAAUCAUAAUAUAUCACCACACUGUUUUCAAUCUUUUUCCACCACUUCCUCCUCCUCCUCUUUUCCCCCCUUCCGGUUUUGUAACAGCCCUGGCUGUCCUAGAACUCACUUUGUAGACCAGGCUGGUGUCACCCUGCCUCUGCCUCCCAAGUGCUGAGAUCAAAGACGUGUGCCACCACUGCCUAGCUCCUCCUCUUUCAAAAUUACAGGAUCCCAACCCAGGAAAUAGUGAACUGGUGACUCCCCUUCACUCAGCAGGAAGAUCUAUCUUUCCAUCUCAAUUGACCUAGUGAAAUAAUCCCCAUAGAAAUGCCCAGAGGCCCCUUUUCUACCUCAUCAAGGUGACAAUGGAAAGUAACCAUCACAUCUUAUAUUAAUAAUAGUUUGAUUGUAAAUAGCAAUUUCCUGAUUUAGGCUGGGCAUAGUGAGCAGUAUAUGCC